UGAGGAGACGCGGUAUCGCACGCCUCGAAGCACCUCGGUGUAGUGGGGCUGCCCGCUGCGCACGUGCACGGUGCGGCCGGGCCGCCAGCGCAGCUUCGGCUGCACGAGCAGGUCGCCCGUGUUCUCGCCGACGCGGACGCUCAGCUGCGCAGUCUGCAUCGUGCGGC
rnacentral:misc_RNA from 1 species